rnacentral:tRNA from 1 species
GCGGGUGUAGCUCAGUGGUAGAGCGGCGGCUUCCCAAGCCGUUAAUGCGGGUUCGAUUCCCGUCACCCGCUCCA